rnacentral:rRNA from 1 species
AAGGAUCAUUAUAGAAUAAAAUUGAACGGGCUGUUGCUCUCCUUGUGGUGGUGCACGCCUGUCAUAUUUAUCUCUCCCACUGUGCACAUUUUGUAGACCUGGUGUUUGGGAAUUGCUGUAGUCAGCUUUGCCCUUUGCCCUUGCCAGUCUAUGUUAUUUUAUCACAACCUCUGAAUGUUUUGAACUUUUUAUGAUGGAAAUUAUAUACAACUUUCAGCAACGGAUCUCUUGGCUCUCGCAUCGAUGAAGAACGCAGCGAAAUGCGAUAAGUAAUGUGAAUUGCAGAAUUCAGUGAAUCAUCGAAUCUUUGAACGCAUCUUGCGCUUCUUGGUAUUCCAAGGAGCAUGCCUGUUUGAGUGUCAUUAAAGUUCUCAAAACCCACAUGCUUGUCAUGUGGAAUUUUGGAUAUGGAGGUUUGCAGGCUUUUUAAAGUCGGCUCCUCUGAAAUGUAUCAGUGGUAUCUGUGUGGACUACAGGUGUGAUAAAUAAAAUCUAUGCCUUGCCCCUCACCGUGCUGCUUCUUCUGACGAGUUGGGAUUGACAAAUUUGACCUCAAAUCAGGUAGGACUACCCGCUGAACUUAA